rnacentral:rRNA from 1 species
GGCAUUGCGCAGCUACCAUGCAGUCGAGCGGUAACACAGGGAGCUUGCUCCCGGGUGACGAGCGGCGGACGGGUGAGUAAUGUCUGGGAAACUGCCUGAUGGAGGGGGAUAACUACUGGAAACGGUAGCUAAUACCGCAUAACGUCGCAAGACCAAAGAGGGGGACCUUCGGGCCUCUUGCCAUCAGAUGUGCCCAGAUGGGAUUAGCUAGUAGGUGGGGUAACGGCUCACCUAGGCGACGAUCCCUAGCUGGUCUGAGAGGAUGACCAGCCACACUGGAACUGAGACACGGUCCAGACUCCUACGGGAGGCAGCAGUGGGGAAUAUUGCACAAUGGGCGCAAGCCUGAUGCAGCCAUGCCGCGUGUAUGAAGAAGGCCUUCGGGUUGUAAAGUACUUUCAGCGGGGAGGAAGGUGUUGUGGUUAAUAACCUCAGCAAUUGACGUUACCCGCAGAAAAAGCACCGGCUAACUCCGUGCCAGCAGCCGCGGUAAUACGGAGGGUGCAAGCGUUAAUCGGAAUUACUGGGCGUAAAGCGCACGCAGGCGGUCUGUCAAGUCGGAUGUGAAAUCCCCGGGCUCAACCUGGGAACUGCAUUCGAAACUGGCAGGCUAGAGUCUUGUAGAGGGGGGUAGAAUUCCAGGUGUAGCGGUGAAAUGCGUAGAGAUCUGGAGGAAUACCGGUGGCGAAGGCGGCCCCCUGGACAAAGACUGACGCUCAGGUGCGAAAGCGUGGGGAGCAAACAGGAUUAGAUACCCUGGUAGUCCACGCCGUAAACGAUGUCGACUUGGAGGUUGUGCCCUUGAGGCGUGGCUUCCGGAGCUAACGCGUUAAGUCGACCGCCUGGGGAGUACGGCCGCAAGGUUAAAACUCAAAUGAAUUGACGGGGGCCCGCACAAGCGGUGGAGCAUGUGGUUUAAUUCGAUGCAACGCGAAGAACCUUACCUACUCUUGACAUCCAGAGAACUUAGCAGAGAUGCUUUGGUGCCUUCGGGAACUCUGAGACAGGUGCUGCAUGGCUGUCGUCAGCUCGUGUUGUGAAAUGUUGGGUUAAGUCCCGCAACGAGCGCAACCCUUAUCCUUUGUUGCCAGCGGUCCGGCCGGGAACUCAAAGGAGACUGCCAGUGAUAAACUGGAGGAAGGUGGGGAUGACGUCAAGUCAUCAUGGCCCUUACGAGUAGGGCUACACACGUGCUACAAUGGCGCAUACAAAGAGAAGCGACCUCGCGAGAGCAAGCGGACCUCAUAAAGUGCGUCGUAGUCCGGAUUGGAGUCUGCAACUCGACUCCAUGAAGUCGGAAUCGCUAGUAAUCGUAGAUCAGAAUGCUACGGUGAAUACGUUCCCGGGCCUUGUACACACCGCCCGUCACACCAUGGGAGUGGGUUGCAAAAGAAGUAGGUAGCUUAACCUUCGGGAGGGCGCUACCACUUUGGAUCAGUCCGG